AACGAACGCUGGCGGCAUGCCUAACACAUGCAAGUCGAACGAGACCUUCGGGUCUAGUGGCGCACGGGUGCGUAACGCGUGGGAACCUGCCCUUAGGUUCGGAAUAACUCCCCGACAGGGGUGCUAAUACCGGAUAAUGUCUUCGGACCAAAGAUUUAUCGCCUUUGGAUGGGCCCGCGUUGGAUUAGCUAGUUGGUAGGGUAAAAGCCUACCAAGGCGACGAUCCAUAGCUGGUCUGAGAGGAUGAUCAGCCACACUGGGACUGAGACACGGCCCAGACUCCUACGGGAGGCAGCAGUGGUGAAUAUUGGACAAUGGGCGAAAGCCUGAGCCAGCAAUGCCGCGUGAGUGAUGAAGGCCGUAGGAUUGUAAAGCUCUUUUACCCGGGAUGAUAAUGACAGUACCGGGAGAAUAAGCUCCGGCUAACUCCGU
rnacentral:rRNA from 1 species